rnacentral:rRNA from 1 species
UACGGAGGGGGCUAGCGUUGUUCGGAAUUACUGGGCGUAAAGCGCACGUAGGCGGCUUUGCAAGUCAGAGGUGAAAACCCGGGGCUCAACCCCGGAAUUGCCUUUGAGACUGCAUCGCUAGAAUUGUGGAGAGGUAAGUGGAAUUCCGAGUGUAGAGGUGAAAUUCGUAGAUAUUCGGAAGAACACCAGUGGCGAAGGCGACUUACUGGACACAUAUUGACGCUGAGGUGCGAAAGCGUGGGGAGCAAACAGG